rnacentral:rRNA from 1 species
GACAGAGGGUGCAAACGUUGCUCGGAAUCACUGGGCGUAAAGGGCGUGUAGGCGGGAAGGAUAGUCAGAUGUGAAAUCCCUGGGCUCAACCCAGGAACUGCAUUUGAAACUCCCUUUCUUGAGUACCGGAGAGGAAGGUGGAAUACCUGGUGUAGAGGUGAAAUUCGUAGAUAUCAGGUGGAACACCAGUGGCGAAGGCGGCCUUCUGGACGGUAACUGACGCUGAGACGCGAAAGCCAGGGGAGCAAACGGG